AUACGGAAGGUCCGGGCGUUAUCCGGAUUUAUUGGGUUUAAAGGGAGCGCAGGCGGAGAUGCAAGCGUGACGUCAAAUUUCGGGGCUCAACCCCGUCUCGCGUCGCGAACUGCGUCCCUUGGUUGCGGGAAGGGGAGGCGGAACUCGUGGUGGAGCGGGGAAAUGCGUAGAUAUGCCACAGAACGCCGAUAGCGGAGGCAGCUCGCCAGGCCUGCAUUGACGCUCGGGCACGAAAGCGUGGGGAUCGAACAGGAUUAGAUACCCUGGUAGUCCACGCCGUAAACGAUGGGCGCUCGUCGUCGGCGGCAGACAGUCGGCGGCCAAGCGAAAGCGAUAAGCGCCCCACCUGGGGAGUACGGUCGCAAGGCUGAAACUCAAAUGAAUUGACGGGG
rnacentral:rRNA from 1 species